UUUCUGCUAGCGGGAUUGACUUUUCUUAUGCAAUUUCUUAUAACUUUCAUAACAAAUAGUCUACGUCAAAAGAGAUAGUUAUACCAAGUAUUUUCUGUUUAUGAUACAUAUAAUUAUGCAUUCGUUUCUUUGGUAUAAUACGAAUAUAUUUUCUACAGCUGAAAUGUGUAGUUAUAUAACGGAUUUAUCUUGGUAUAUCUGACAAUUAUUUCCGUAACACAAAACCAUACAUGUUGUACACCCUGUUCGGAAACUCGCUAGGCACAACGCGUGCGGCUGACCUAGGCCUAGCGAGUUAACAUAAAAGCGGGAUAAACUCGGGGAUUACGCGGGGUGGAAUUUUUGAUAUAUUUAACUAUUAGAUCCAUGAAAUAUUUACUUUAGCAAAGAAGACAACAAAGUCAAUGUAGCCUAACGGUUUGGUAAGUUAUAUUGACUGCCAUUUCUUGAGUUUGAACUCUCAAAUCACUAUUUUUUAAUUUUUUCCUGUUUUUAUUUAAUGAAGGCCGGUAUCGUAAUUUCGCUUUUAUCUUCUUCCUUCACCUCCAGACCUAGUUUCACCCAGCUUUUUCAUUCCUCAACAAUUUUCAUCAAAUUUUGGUAUGAUUUGCUUCGUUUCAGUUUCGUUUUCUUAUUAUAAGUAUCGAUUUAUGAUAGAUCUAUGAUAUGGACAUCGUUUCAAGUUUGAAAAGGACAAAACAGAUUUUUUUCUUCUUACUCCGAUUUUUCUGGCCGCGUAGAGUGUAUUCGCCACGGAACUCUUCCGAUCAGCGUUGUAGCGGCGCGUAAUCGUCCACUACGGGCGCGUUUUAGAACAGGGGUUGUACAUAACCAUCUCAUUCUCUAUUUACCAUGUUAAUCAAGAAGGGAAGUCCAACUUGUCUUCUAGGAGAGAGUUGACUUUUCUUGUGCAAUUUCUUGUAUCUUUCAUAAACAUAAGCUAAUAUAUAUAUUUGUCAAAGUCCGUGGCAAUUUGAGGCUAUAUAAAAAGGCUUUUACAUCACAUAUAUUUUGCAUUAGUAUUCAGAAUAUUUGAAAACAAAAGAGUUUACACUUCGCGUUGAUAUAUAUCAAAUAUCUCUGUGGACUGUGGUUACGUCUGCUAUUCAAGAUCACGAUGUGUCGAUUGCUAUGUUGUUGCUUCUGCCGCAAGAAGAAAAAGCCGCGAGAAGUAAAAAGGGGCAAAAAAGGAAAGAAAGAUGGAGGUCUUGUUGUGGUGAAGCCGACUAAGACUAAGAAGCGUCGCAAUGAACCAGUAGAUGUAAGCGGAUGUACAGACCUAUGUUGCUGCUUUGGUGGAGGCGGAGGCGGUGGAGAUGGUGGUGGUGGUGGAUGUGGAGGCGGCGGCUGCGGAGGUGGAGGUGGAGGCGGUUAAAAGAUGAGAAUUUUGUAAUUCUGUAUGUAAUGAUAACUUCUUGUAUUUGUGAUUUAUUUCUUUUAUAUAUGUAAUGUAUAAACUUUAUUUUAAUGUAAUUUCUUGUUACAAUGGAAUUAUCGAAUGUAUAUAUUGCGUACGUGUGUUACAAAAAAAGAGAGUAUAUAUUGCGUACACGAUAUAUAAAGCAUCAUACGUUUAUUCUUCUUCUAUGAAACAUUACUAAAUAAUUUAGUCAUAUUCAUAUAUGCAGAUGUAAAUGAAUUAGUUCUAUGCAAACACACAAAGUUGUGGGCAUCGAAAUUUCUUAUGAAUCAUUUUAACUUGCGUUAGUUGAUCCAUCAAUGAUUCAAUGCUGCAGCACAUACUUUUUUAAACAUGGUCCUUCUUAUUUUUAUUUAAUUUUCUUAUUCAAGUUGUAUAUCCACCUUUUUGGUUAACAUAGAUUUGUAUCCCGACUCUGUUAUUUCUCAUAUUUAGUAAAAGAAUGAGUCUGUCGAAUUUUUUAGCUAAUUUUGUUUAAGUUUUUUUUUCAGCUAGUUUUGUUUAUGUAAUUAAAAAUAAUAAUAAUAAUAAUAACCUGGUAAUUUUUAUAAAAAAAAUAAUGUAAAGAAAUAAAGCAUACCAGACUAAUUAUAUGAAAAAAUUAGAAAUAUAGUGUAUUAUAAAAUUAUAAUACUUUUUCUAAUAUGUUUUAUUUGAUAGUUUAAGAUAAUGUAUGGGAAGUAUGAAUAUAAGAUAAAAAUUUGGGCUUUAGACUUGGAAAUUUUAAAUCAAACUCUACUAAGCAAGCAGUUGUGGAGAAUUAUGCAGAAGCCAAACUGUUUAAUGGCAAGAGUUCUUCCAGCUAGAUAAUUUCCAGACGGUGAUAUACUUAAAGCUACUUUGAAAAAGAAAGCAUCGUACUGUUGGAAGUCAAUAUUACAUGGACGAGAUCUAAUAACUAAGGGACUCAGAUAUAUCAUUGGAGAUGGUUCACUAGUUAACAUGUGGGAAGAUCUGUGGAUCCCUAAUCACCCUCCUCGAGCUCCAAGACCACGGCGAGAUAUUACUGCUGGAAUCAAAGUUAAUCAGUUCUUUGACAGAGAUAGAAAAUAAUGGGACAUACAAAAACUUCGUGAUGAAGUUGUAGAGGAGGAUAUUGAAAAGAUCCUAGCAAUCAGAAUUAGUCCUACUGCACAACAAGACCAUCUACCAAAAAUGAUCAUCAGCUACCUACUUAUGGGAAUGCAGAGCUUAAAACAAAGAUUUGGAAGACAAAGGCCCCAGCUAAAUUGAAUGAUUUUCUUUGGAGGUUAUUGUCUAGAUCGCUAGCAACAGGUAAUAAUUUGAAAAAAGGCAUGUAAUCAGAUAUGCUGUUUGUCAACGAUGUUGUAUGACAGAGCAAACAGAGAAUCACAUUUUCUUUUAAUGUGCGUAUUUGAAGAAGAUAUGGAUAGCAUCAGGGAUUGAAAAUCUAACAAUCCUCAGCUAGUCUUCUACUCUAGAAGAAAAGAUUUAAGCCUGUAUACGGAUCUGUAAUAGAAUAAAUACAUUUGGUUUAAUGUUGGUUAUGAGACUCGGUUUACUUUCUUAUUUGGUUUAGUGAUUAAGUCGUUGUAUUUAAGUGCUGAUACACUUUCAUUUACAGUUUAAUGAAGCUUUCUAUAAUAUUCCGUUAGAUCUGAAAUGGUAUCAGAGCAUUCCCCAAGCUUCAUUCAUCUUCCGCACUCUAUUCGUCUCUGAUUUUUCACAAAUUCUUCAUCAAAUCUCUCUAUUUCGUUGUUAUCGUUGAUCGCGUUUCAUUCCGAUCGUUUUUUUGAGCUAUUCCAAGCUCAUCUGAGCUCAUCUUCUUCGAUCGAGCUUUGUUUCGUGCUCUUUGAGCUCCGUUUUUCAUUCCGAAGAUGGCGACGAAUCACGAUCUACCUAUUCCGACGGCAAAUCCAACUUUCGUUGCGGUGAACACUGAUCCGUACGCAAAUCCUCUUUAUCUUCACGCCGCAAAUAACUCCGGAUCAUAUUCAGGAAUGGAUGAUUGGUCAGGGUGAUCGUUUCAACGAUCUUUAUCUACUGAGCCAAAGUGAUUUCUCUCACAAUCAUGUUUCCCUCAUGGUUGCAUCAGCUGAAUUGUGGCAUUAGCAUCUUGGUCACCCCUCCAUAUUUCAAGCUUAAAUCUUCCUCAGAAACUUUCUGAUUUUCAUUGUAAAGUUUGUUUAGUGUUAAUUAAAAUUUUAUUCUAAAACAAGAAAAUAAAAACUAUAUACUAUUUUUAUAAAUUUUAUAAUUAUAUUCUGUAUAUAUAAAAAUUGAAUUGGUUUAUGAAUUAAAUAGGAUAAAAUUAUAUUAAAUACGUAAAUUAACAAAAAAAAAAUUGUUUCAUUUAAACAAAUUAUCACUCAUCAUUAAAAUGGAUUAAAAUUGUUAAAAUAUAUAAUAUUUUUGUACAAAAAUAAAUUUAUUAACAUAAGUUAAACUUUUAUGUCUACAACUAUAGUUAUCUUCUUAUUUAUUUUGAAACUCUCAACAAUAUACUUUUUAAAAAAUUUUAUAUACAAACUAUAAUAGUAUAUAAUAACUUUUAGUUCAUAUACUAUUUAAAAAAUAUGUUAUUAGAAAACUAUGAAAUUUUAAUAAUAUAUUUAAAAUAUUAAU